GAGGUUCUGCCUCUAAAGGCUAUAUAGAACUAUUCAAAUAUAAGUGUAAUAAAAUUCAUCAUUUAUCUUGUAGGGUGCUGUUACUGCGAUGACAAAAGCUCUGGCCAUUGAUGAGAGCAAGCAUUGUGUCCGAGUCAACUGCAUCUCACCUGCCAGUGUUUGGACUCCAUUGAAGGCAAGUCUUAUAAAUGGCUCACCUGAUCCAGAGGAAGCAUUCCAGGAUGCCAAGGAUGCUCAGGCAAGUCCAUGAUGGGCCCAGGGCUACUUCAUAGGAUGGAUUUCUACUUUAUG
rnacentral:lncRNA from 11 species